rnacentral:rRNA from 1 species
AGGGUUCGAUUCUGGCUCAGGAUGAACGCUGGCGGCGUGCUUAACACAUGCAAGUCGAACGGGAUCCAUCAGGCUUUGCUUGGUGGUGAGAGUGGCGAACGGGUGAGUAAUGCGUGACCGACCUGCCCCAUACACCGGAAUAGCUCCUGGAAACGGGUGGUAAUGCCGGAUGCUCCAGUUGACCGCAUGGUCCUCUGGGAAAGCUUUUGCGGUAUGGGAUGGGGUCGCGUCCUAUCAGCUUGAUGGCGGGGUAACGGCCCACCGUGGCUUCGACGGGUAGCCGGCCUGAGAGGGCGACCGGCCACAUUGGGACUGAGAUACGGCCCAGACUCCUACGGGAGGCAGCAGUGGGGAAUAUUGCACAAUGGGCGCAAGCCUGAUGCAGCGACGCCGCGUGCGGGAUGACGGCCUUCGGGUUGUAAACCGCUUUUGAUCGGGAGCAAGCCUUCGGGUGAGUGUACCUUUCGAAUAAGCACCGGCUAACUACGUGCCAGCAGCCGCGGUAAUACGUAGGGUGCAAGCGUUAUCCGGAAUUAUUGGGCGUAAAGGGCUCGUAGGCGGUUCGUCGCGUCCGGUGUGAAAGUCCAUCGCUUAACGGUGGAUCCGCGCCGGGUACGGGCGGGCUUGAGUGCGGUAGGGGAGACUGGAAUUCCCGGUGUAACGGUGGAAUGUGUAGAUAUCGGGAAGAACACCAAUGGCGAAGGCAGGUCUCUGGGCCGUUACUGACGCUGAGGAGCGAAAGCGUGGGGAGCGAACAGGAUUAGAUACCCUGGUAGUCCACGCCGUAAACG